CUACGGGGUGCACCAGUGAGGAAUAUUGCACAAUGGGGGGAACCCUGAUGCAGCAACGCCGCGUGGAGGAUGACGCAUUUCGGUGUGUAAACUCCUUUUAUAUGUCAAGAAAAUGACGGUAGCAUAUGAAUAAGCACCGGCUAACUCCGCUGCCAGCGCCGCGGUAAUACGGAGGGUGCAAGCGUUACUCGGAAUCACUGGGCGUAAAGGACGCGUAGGCGGGUUGGAAAGUCAGGUGUGAAAUCCUACAGCUUAACUGUAGAACUGCACUUGAAACUUCUAAUCUAGAGUAUGGGAGGGGGAGAUGGAAUUAGUGGUGUAGGGGUAAAAUCCGUAGAUAUCACUAGGAAUACCUAAAGCGAAGGCGAUCUCCUGGAACAUUACUGACGCUAAGGCGUGAAAGCGUGGGGAGCAAACAGGAUUAGAUACCCCCGUAGUC
rnacentral:rRNA from 1 species